UUCAUGGGUAGCGUAUUUACAAAGGAGGCUCCUCCGCCAGCCCGUGCCACCGCUGCUAAUGAGAGCGGUCAUUAAGUAAAUGAGACAUCGCCUUUAGCUGGCUUAGGAGUUCGCACACGGAGGGGAGAAGAUAUUUAAUUGAAACGCGCACACAAGCUUCCCCACAUGUGACCGCUGCGAGGGAGGCAGCUGCCUUCCCCCUCCCCCAGUCCACCCGGCACCCCCCAUGUAAAUUUCAUGAUUGCUUUCCGUGAUGUCAUUUUGAAAGAGGACAGACAAUAGCUGUGAGGAAAGGUGGGUCUUACCUGGCUUUCUUCAGCACCCUUGGUUGGAACUGCUAUAUUCAUGCACAUCCACACCCUGCUGACCUGUGUCCUCUAAAGCAGCUGCCAGAGCUGGGAUGAUGGUGCAGAACCUCUGAGAGAAAAUGAGUUCCGGGGUGAACUGCUGACCCAGAGGUGGACACCUGGAGACAAGGCCAGCAUCUACAGGACCUCAAGACGCCUCUUGGGCAGACACAACAAGGAACUGGAUCAGGUUAAUACUGUCCACUGUCAGAGAUUCGCAGCAAUGACAGAGCUGGUGUCCCUCUUGGCUGCAAGCAAGAAAAGAAGAAAACAAAACAAACCCCAGGUAGGAUGAGGUGCUGGCAGGCCAAGCAGGAUGGGGGAUGGCCAGGUCCCCACUAUUUCCCCACUCCCAUGGGUUCUUCCUCCCUCUUCUCUGGGGAGGGGCUGCCCAUGGUUCUGGGAGUCAGCAGACCCCUCCCUCAGGUCUCUGUGAGGAAAAGCAUAGAGCAAGAGGCUCAACCCUUCUGCAGGCCCCUGUAAUCCACAUAAGUUUAUGGAUUUAAAAAAUUCUCCUAAAUCCACU
rnacentral:lncRNA from 1 species